UACGUAGGUGGCGAGCGUUGUCCGGAUUUAUUGGGUUUAAAGGGUGCGUAGGCGGCCUUAUAAGUCAGUGCUGAAAUAUCCCGGCUUAACCGGGAGGGUGGCAUUGAUACUGUAGGGCUUGAGUGAAGUCGAGGUAGGCGGAAUUGACGGUGUAGCGGUGAAAUGCUUAGAUAUCGUCAAGAACACCGAUAGUGAAGACAGCUUACUAGACUUCAACUGACGCUGAGGCACGAAAGUGUGGGGAUCAAACAGG
rnacentral:rRNA from 1 species